CACGUAGGGUGCGAGCGUUGUCCGGAAUUAUUGGGCGUAAAGAGCUCGUAGGCGGUGUGUCGCGUCGGCCGUGAAAACCUGCAGCUUAACUGUGGGCUUGCGGUCGAUACGGGCAUCACUGGAGUUCGGCAGGGGAGACUGGAAUUCCUGGUGUAGCGGUGAAAUGCGCAGAUAUCAGGAGGAACACCGGUGGCGAAGGCGGCUCUCUGGAACGGUACUGACGCUGAGACGCGAAAGCGUGGGGAGCGAACAGG
rnacentral:rRNA from 1 species